rnacentral:rRNA from 1 species
CGGUUGAUCCUGCCGGACCCGACUGCUAUUUGGGUGAGGAUAAACCAUGCGAGUUGUAUGGGAUACCUAAAUUUCCCAUGGCAAACUGCUCAGUAACACAUGAUCAACUUACCCUAGGGAGAAAAAUAACCUCAGGAAACUGAGGAUAAUGUUUCAUAGUUGAAUAGGCUUGGAAAAGUUAUUCAACAAAAGGAAUAAGAACAAAAGUUCUUAUUCGCCCUAGGAUAGGAUCGUGUUCGAUUAUGGUAGUUGGUGAGAUAACGGCUCACCAAGCCGAUAAUCGAUAGGGGCCGUGAGAGCGGGAGCCCCGAGAUGGGUACUGAGACAGCGACCCAGGCCUUACGAGGCGCAGCAGGCGCGAGACCUCCGCAAUACACGAAAGUGUGACGGGGUUACCCAAAGUGUUCUCUUUAGAACUGUGGUAGGUGAGUAAUGUCCCCUACUAGAAAGGAGAGGGCAAGGCUGGUGCCAGCCGCCGCGGUAAAACCAGCUCUUCAAGUGGUCGGGAUAAUUAUUGGGCUUAAAGUGUCCGUAGCCGGUUUAGUUAGUUCCUGGUAAAAUCGGGUAGCUUAACUAUCUGCAUGCUAGGAAUACUGCUAUACUAGAGGGCGGGAGAAGUCUGAGGUACUACAGGGGUAGGGGUGAAAUCUUAUAAUCCUUGUAGGACCACCAGUGGCGAAGGCGUCAGACUGGAACGCGCCUGACGGUGAGGGACGAAAGCCAGGGGAGCGAACCGGAUUAGAUACGUCGGUGCUAGAAUAAUAAAAUAACUAACACCAUGCUAAAAACCCGGGUAGUCCUGGCCGUAAACGAUGCAUACUAGGUGAUGGUACGGCCAUGAGCCGUAUCAGUGCCGUAGGGAAACCGUUAAGUGUGCCGCCUGGGAAGUACGGUCGCAAGGCUAAAACUUAAAGGAAUUGGCGGGGGAGCAC